rfam:Anopheles stephensi strain SDA-500 unplaced genomic scaffold supercont1.10, whole genome shotgun sequence.
CCUUCGAUAGCUCAGUUGGUAGAGCGGUGGACUGUAGAAAAAAGAGGGGGGCCUCAGCUCCUACAAAACUGCAAUUGUUGUGGUCUCGCAUUCAAGCCAUAGAAAUCCAUAGGUCACUGGUUCAAAUCCGGUUCGAAGGA